rnacentral:rRNA from 1 species
AUGGUUAUCCCAUUCCUGAUGGAAAUAGCGUUUGAGCAGCCGCCGCCGGAUCUGGCCUCGUUCCUUUACAAGAACAUUAUCAUGUACCUGGGGAUGUGCCUUGUGUCGUUGGUCACGGAGAUCAUGCUUGCGGUUGCGAAGUUUCUCUACCUUCAGUACGAGGACGCGGACAAGCUCAUCUACAUGUACAUCAAAACUCCACCGGCUACCAAGACCGGUGCUUCUGCUCCACCUAUGGCUAUGAUUGUUGCUACACAAAGGAGUGUGUCUCCAAAACCUACUUCUAGACUUGAUAUAGUUAAUGAUUAG